GACGAACGCUGGCGGCGCGCUUAAUACAUGCAAGUCGAACGAGAAGCCAGAGCUUGCUCUGGUGGAAAGUGGCGAACGGGUGAGUAACACGUGAGAAACCUGCCCCAAAGAUUGGGAUAAGCCUUGGAAACGAGGUCUAAUACCAAAUACCUUCUUUUUAACACAUGUUAAAAAGAAGAAAUGCUCCGGCGCUUUGGGAUGGUCUCGCGAUCUAUCAGCUUGUUGGUGAGGUAACGGCUCACCAAGGCAUCGACGGAUAGCUGGUCUGAGAGGAUGUCCAGCCACAUUGGAACUGAGACACGGUCCAAACUCCUACGGGAGGCAGCAGUAGGGAAUCUUGCACAAUGAGGGAAACCUUGAUGCAGCGACGCCGCGUGCGGGACGAAGGCCCUAGGGUUGUAAACCGCUUUCAGUAGGGACGAAAGUGACGGUACCUACAGAAGAAGCCCCGGCCAACUAUGUGCCAGCAGCCGCGGUAAU
rnacentral:rRNA from 1 species